GGCCGCAUGGCCCAAUGGUCAAGGCGCUUGACUACGAUUAACAUUUCGAAAUCAAGAGAUUCCAGGUUCGACUCCUGGUGUGGUCG